rnacentral:rRNA from 1 species
UGUGUAGGCGGUUGCGCAAGUUCGGUGUGAAAUCUCCCGGCUUAACUGGGAGGGUGCGCCGAAAACUGCGUGGCUUGAGUGCCGGAUAGGAAAGCGGAAUUCCUGGUGUAGCGGUGAAAUGCGUAGAUAUCAGGAGGAACACCGGUGGUGUAGACGGCUUUCUGGACGGCCACUGACGCUGAGACACGAAAGCGUGGGGAGCAAACA